AAAACCAAGCUACUUUCGUUUAUUGGCUGAAGUGUACUUUGAAACAAGAAAACCAAGCUACUUUCGUUUCUUGCCAAAAGUGCACUUUAAACGACUCAUACAUGUAUGGAUAUAUUAAUUCCUGCUGAUUUUACCACAAGUGGGGAAUGCAGGCAAUUACAUUAUUAACUGACCGCUCUGAUAAUCAAUUCACCUGGCAAUCAAGGCAAUAACUAACCUUGUAUAAGGAGAGACUGUUGCUUAUCAAUACUUUAACAUCAAUUUGGUGAUGCACUGAAGACUAAUUCAACAGUUUUUCCUAAAAAGCACAAAAGUGCUGGAGGAAGGCCUAGCCCAGUGGUUCCCAAAGUGUGGGGCAGAUCCCACAGGGGGUGGGUGAGGGUGAAAAAAAAUGACUGAGAAACCCAACAACCAACCACUGGUCAAAUUAAGUAUGGCAAUGCUAGUAUAAUACAGCAUAAUAGCCUCUAACUAACCUAUUUGGUGAUGAAUUUAUAGCCUACUUUGUGCUUCUAUAAUAUGAUCAGGGCCUAACUUUUAGCCUAAAUGUUAGAAGGAAUAGCUAACCUAAUUUUUAUUACAAUGGGUAUGCGCCUAACAUGAAUUGAUCUAAAGACUGUUCCUUUUUUUUUUAAACAUAUUUUUUUUCUCAUUAUCAAAGGGAUGGCCUGCCAUAGAGGCUGACAUUUUUUUUCAGGAGUCUUGUGGGUCACAGAAUUCCUGUGGGAUUCCCGUGGGAUGGGAGUCAAUUUCACUAUUCAUCACAUGACUGGGACAAGAAAAAAAGUAAACGGGAGCGGACGGGACAGGAAUUACAAUAACAACAGUUUCUGUAGUAAAGCCCAGCCCAGUAGUGUAGAAGUCCAGCUUGCCCCUCACCUCACCUGGAGGAGGAUUGAACGCGAAGGCUUGUUUGCUUCUAUACUGUUUGAGAGCGCCAUGGAGGAGUGUCGGCAUGACAACAUGGAGAACAACGGUCCAUGGACAGAUGCCAAAAAUAAAUGAAAUAUACCACCUUUCACUGCAGCAGUGGAUCCCAUCCCCAC
rnacentral:lncRNA from 1 species